GAUGUUCGGGGCCGCACGCGCGCUACACUGAAGGAAUCAGCGUGUGCUUUCCCUGUCCGACAGGACUGGGUAAUCCGUUGAACCUCCUUCGUGAUGGGGAUAGGGGCUUGUAAUUGUUCCCCUUGAACGAGGAAUUCCCAGUAAGCACGAGUCAUAAGCUCGUGUUGACUACGUCCCUGCCCUUUGUACUCACCGCCCGUCGCUACUACCGAUUGAAUGAUUUAGUGAGGUCUUCGGACUGGCGCUCGCACUCGGUCUUCGACCGGGCCGUAGUGCCGGAAAGAUGACCAAACUUGAUCAUUUAGAGGAAGUAAAAGUCGUAACAAGGUAUCC
rnacentral:rRNA from 1 species